UAUGACUCUCGACAAUUGAUAUCUUGGCUCUGGCAUCGUUGAAGAGCGCAGCAAAAUGCGAUACGUGGUGCAAAUUGCAUAAUCUCGUGAACCAUCGAGUUUUUGAACGCAAGUUGUGCCUGAGGCCAACUGGUUGAGGGCACGUCCACCUGGGCGUCAUGC
rnacentral:rRNA from 1 species